rnacentral:rRNA from 1 species
UCGGGAAUUUUGGGCAAUGGGCGAAAGCCUGACCCAGCAACGCCGCGUGAAGGAUGAAGUAUUUCGGUAUGUAAACUUCGAAAGAAUAGGAAGAAUAAAUGACGGUACUAUUUAUAAGGUCCGGCUAACUACGUGCCAGCAGCCGCGGUAAUACGUAGGGACCAAGCGUUGUUCGGAUUUACUGGGCGUAAAGGGCGCGUAGGCGGCAAUUCAAGUCAUCUGUGAAAUCUCCGGGCUUAACUCGGAACGGUCAGAUGAUACUGCUUUGCUAGAGUGCAGAAGGGGCAAUCGGAAUUCUUGGUGUAGCGGUGAAAUGCGUAGAUAUCAAGAGGAACACCUGAGGUGAAGACGGGUUGCUGGGCUGACACUGACGCUGAGGCGCGAAAGCCAGGGGAGCAAACGGGAUUAAAUACCCGUGUAGUCCCUGAGCGGGCUGGCAAGGCGCAU